rnacentral:rRNA from 1 species
CCUACGGGAGGCAGCAGUGGGGGAUAUUGGACAAUGGGGGAAACCCUGAUCCAGCGAUGCCGCGUGAGGGAAGAAGGUUCUUGGAUUGUAAACCUCUGUGGAUGGGGACGCUAAUGACGGUACUCCUACAGCAAGCCACGGCUAACGACGUGUCAGCAGCCGCGGUCACACGUAGGUGGCGAGCGUUGUCCGGAAUUACUGGGUGUAAAGGGAGCGUAGGCGGGAAAGCAAGUCAGAAGUGAAAACUGUGGGCUUAACCCAUAGCCUGAAUUUGAAACUGUUUGUCUUGAGUGAAGUAGAGGCAAGCGGAAUUCCUGGUGUAGCGGUGAAAUGCGUAGAUAUUAGGAGGAACACCAGUGGCGAAGGCGGCUUGCUGGGCAUUAACUGACGCUGAGGCUCGAAGGCGUGGGGAGCAAACGGGAUUAGAUACCCGAGUAGUC